UACCAUGUGCCCUGACACUGUUCCCUGCACUGAUAAUUCCAUAAUAGACCAAGUAUCAAAAAUCUGUUUUCCUAUUGCAGAGGUGGACCUACUAUAAAAGAAAGAAGUUUCAUAGUUUAUUAGAAAGUGCAAGGUGCUAUGGUAGAGAAGGAAGGUUCAAAGAACUCGAGGGGAGAUUAGUUUGUAACUUUAUGUAGGGUGAUUAGGGAAAGCCUCACUGAGCAGGUGAUGGCCCAGUAAAGUCUCCAGGGAGAUGAGGGAGCCUUGUGAAUAUCUUGGAGAAGAGCAUUCUAAGCAGAGGGGCCAACAGCUGCCAAGACCCUUACAGACAGGUGUGCUUAAUAACAUCAGGAGGCUGGAGCCAAGUGAGCGAGGGUGAGAAUGGCAGGACAGAAAUCAGAGAGAUGGUGGCUGUGGGGGUGGGCAUGUCAAAGAAAGCCGUGUAGGCUGUUGUCAGAAUUUUGACUUUUAUCCCAAGUGAGGUGGAAAUUCAGUGGAGUGUUUUGAGCAGAGGAGUUACAUGAUCUGUUAGGCUCUAAGGAGACAAAGGUGGGAGCACAGAGACAAUUUAGGAGCUGGGGCAAUAGUCCAAGAGAAAAAUAACAGUGGCUUGGACCAGCAAGAAGCAGUGGAGAUGAGAGAAACAGUUGGAUUGUGGAUAUUUUUGGAGGUAAAAUCAACAGGAUAUGCUGAUGGGCUGAAUAUGAAUGUAAGAGAAAGAGAGAGGCCAAGGAUGACGCCCAGUUUUUGUCCUAAGCAAACGGAAACAUGAAGGUACCAUGACCUGAGAUGAAGAAGGCUGUGAGUGGGAUAUAUAUAGUGGAAACAAGCAGAAGUUCAGUUUUGGACAUGUGAAAUUUGAGAUGUUUAUAAAGCAUCUAAAAGUACAUCUGGGCCAGGUGCGGUGGCUCAUGUCUGAGAAUUGAUCACUGAGUUUAGCAACAUGAGGCCUGAGAACUGACCACUGUGUUUAGCAAAAUGGAGGAAGCUAUUAGUGACUCUGAUAAAAGCCAUUUAUUAAGACAUUGUUUAUGUGAAAAAAUAGAAAAAAUAAUAACUAGCAAUAGUAUAGGUUAAAUAUAGUGGUAUAUAUUACACUUUCAGAUAAAUUGUUCCCCUUUAUCUUACUUUGAAGCUCUUUAUUUUUAUUUUUUAAAAUAGAGACAGGGUCUCACUCUGCCACCCUGACUGAAGUGUGGUGGUGUGAACAUAGCUCACUGCAGCCUUGAACUCCUGGGCUCAAGUGAUCCUCCCACCUCAGCCUCCAGAGUAGCUGGGACUACAGGCACAAGUCACCACGCCUGGCUCUUGAAGCUUUUCUUUGUAUAGUGACACAUCCAAAAGGAAUGCAAAUCCUGUAUCCAAAGCCUCGAUAUGUGCUAUGAUGGUCGUCAACAUCCAACUCCAGCUUCCUGAUUGGUGGGCUUGGGCUGCCCUACAUUACAGAGGCUGGACAACUAAACACCACAUUUCCUAGACUCCCUUGAGCUACAGCUCCAGAGGUGAUUUCAGCUCUUCCAGUUAGACGCAUGAACUUUUCUUUUUCUUCACUGCCUCUUUGAUAAGGUCUUUAUUAAAAAUAAGGUGUCCAAAAUGAUUUGAUCUUUAUGGAAUAAACUCAUUUAAAAGCUUAUGCAGCAGGAUUAUUUUCCUCUGU
rnacentral:lncRNA from 1 species